GUAGGCUUCUGUUACGAUUUAAGAGAAGACGGUUCUAACAGAAAUCAAUGAUAGAAGGGUGCUCCAGUUGGAGUGGAUUUGUGAUGCCCGCCUCUGCCCUAUUCUAAGAUUGCCCAAAAUAACUGGAUUUUCUGUUAAAAUGAAUUUUAUGGAAUUGAGACUGCAUCAUCAACCAUGAAGAAACUGACAGGCAAUGUGCCUCUUGACCCUCAUGCAAGAGUGCUUCUGAUCUCUGCAGCCUGACAGAUAAGAGAGAAAAAAGAUCAACAUCAAAACUUCUGGGCUGUAUUUAUUGGAUUUAUAAAGCAUUCAGCCUCAGUAAACCUGAGCUUCAGCAAUAGAGACAGAGUUUCGCUCUUGUUACCCAGGCUGGAGUACAAUGGCAUGAUCUCGGCUCACCGCAACCUCCGCCUCCUGGGUUCAGGCAAUUCUCCUGCCUCAGCCUCCUGAGCAGCUGGGAUUACAGGCAUGUGCCACCAUGCCCAGCUAAUUUAUUGUAUUUUUAGUAGAGACGGGGUUUCACCAUGUUGACCAGGAUGGUCUCGAUCUCUUGACCUCGUGAUCCACCUGUCUCGGCCUCCCAAAGUGCUGGGAUUACAGGCGUGAGCCACUGCGUCCAGCCCUAUGUUUUCUUCAUGCAAAUGAUGUCUUAGAGAAAAUGCUAAAAACCUUAGCAUUAAAAUAUAUUGCAUAAAAUAUGCCGUAGAUUAUGUUUUAAGGAUGUUUGAAGAACCUGGAAUGUAUACCCGGAAAUGUAUGCAAAGUUCAGGAUCAGUUGUUUUAUUUUAGUUAAGAACUAAUGUGGUUGCAACCUUUUGAAGCAUUCUGUAAAAAUGUAUCAGCACAAUACUAAUAUUCUGCAUGCAUGAGUUUCAGAUUGAAUUUAAAUUU
rnacentral:lncRNA from 1 species